rnacentral:rRNA from 1 species
CCUACGGGAGGCAGCAGCAGGGAAUCUUGCGCAAUGGGCGAAAGCCUGACGCAGCGACACCGCGUGGGGGAUGAAGGCCUUCGGGUUGUAAACCCCUUUCAGGAGGGAUGAAAUUGACAGUACCUCCACAAGAAGGACCGGCCAACUACGUGCCAGCAGCCGCGGUAAUACGUAGGGUCCGAGCGUUAUCCGGAAUCAUUGGGCGUAAAGAGCUCGUAGGCGGUUCAGCAAGUCGGCUGUGAAAGUUCGAGGCUCAACCUCGAAAUUGCAGUCGAUACUGCUGUGACUCGAGUCCGGUAGAGGAGAAUGGAAUUCCCGGUGUAGCGGUGAAAUGCGCAGAUAUCGGGAGGAACACCAGUAGCGAAGGCGGUUCUCUGGGCCGGCACUGACGCUGAGGAGCGAAAGCGUGGGGAGCAAACAGGAUUAGAUACCCUGGUAGUCCACGCCGUAAACGUUGGAUACUAGGUGUGGCGUCCCGAUUAACGGUCGCCGUGCCGAAGCUAACGCAUUAAGUAUCCCGCCUGGGGAGUACGGCCGCAAGGCUAAAACUCAAAGGAAUUGACGG